GGAGGAGGUUCUCAAUUCGGUCCAUUUUUGAAUUAAUCCAAGAAAACAAGAAAUAUGCUAAUAUCAUUAUUUUUAUUAAUCACUUAAUUAUACAUCCUUAAAUAAGAGGAUUAAGUAUAACAGUAAAACAUUAACGCGAGAUUAGUAGGUAUUUAUUACAUAUUUAAUACGUAAUAAUUAACUUUUUACUACAAUUACAGGGUUAUCUAUAUUUUACCAUAUUAAAUCAUUAUCGUCGACUUUGUGAACUUUAAAAAGUUCAAUUUUUUUUAUUUUGUCUAUUUCUAACACACCUUAUUUUGAGUCUUGGCCACAUUUGUAUGCUCUGUGAUAUUUUAUGGCCGUUUCACAUUAUUCCAGAAAUCUGAAUUAAAUUAAAUAAAAUAUUUUCAGUGCCGAUUUGCAGUUGCAUAUUUGCAGUUUAUUUUCAAUGCUGACAUUGGACUCGAAAUAGUCGAACGAGUUGAAUUAGCUUUGUACAUUAUUUUAGUUGAAUACACGAAAGUGUGCAAUGCAAUGAAAGAAAUAGGUACUGAAUUGGACUAUAAAUGAUUUCUGGAAUGCUUCUGGAGUAGUGUAAACCGACCAUUAUUACGGUCAACGUUAAAUGGACUUCUGUGUAACUUAAAUAACAAUAAAAACAAUGUUAAAAAAGAAACUCGCGUCAACAUUUUAAUCGUAAAAAAUUGAAUUCAUCAGUCAUCAUCAAUUCAUCACACAUAAAACCUAUUACCUUAUAACCACAUAAAUAUAUUGUACAACAGAAAUUAGGAUGGCAGUUUUUUUAGUUAUAUUAUACAAAACGCAAUAGGAAAUUCAUAAAAUACAUACAACAACCGCGCACACAUCCCUUGGUUAAAAAUUAACGACUACACACAUAUUAUACUAUCUAAAACUAAUUUAAUUACCAUUAAUCUAUUUCUAUAACUAUUAUAUACAUAAUGUACACAAAUUGAACUACCUUCUUCUAAUAUCAAGAGGGCUACAAGUUUGCUACGAAUUACUUAAGUCUGAACAUAAAUGCGAAAGUGUUUGUUUGUUCUUCAAUCAAAUAGAUCGACGUGAUUUUUGUAAAGACCUGGAGAGCGACAUAGGCACAUUUUAUCCCGGAAACAUCGGUGUUCGACAGGAAUUUUGAAAACCUAAAUCCACGCGGACGAAGUUGCGGGCAUCAUCUAGUUGAAUAAUAAAACACUAAUUAUCUUGCCUAACAACUUACUUGUUGUUGACAUUGCCCGGGCAAAGCCUGUUAAUAUAAUCGAAGUCGAUUCUAUCCGGGUAAUGUCGACUUUGCACACCCUGCAGGCUUCGCUUUGACAUUCCACUGUCCUCUUCUUUAGGCGUAAACGUUGCAUUGGUGUUGUAUUUAUAAACAAAAUGUUUGUUUUUCGUCACGCGAAUUUAUCAUAUAUACCUAUCCAUAAGAGCGAAAUCGCUACCUAAAACUCACUUUUACUUAUAUGAAACAUGAAUAUUAUUAUCGAAACAAUAUUACUGUAUAAAAUACUUAAUAUAUCUAAAUAAAUAGGCCAGUUAUUUAUAUCGUGAUACGUUAGUUUAUAUAAUUAAUUCACAUAGACAUAAUAAAAUUAUGAGAAAAACAUUACCUACCAUUUCUAGU